UGUUCUUUAAAAUAUCGACUUUAGUAACCGGCUAGUGUUUCGAUUACUUCUGCUAUUCGGAAAUCGGUAUCAUUGGGUCUGUUCUUCGCGCGCCAGACUAUACUGGGUUUCCAACGAGGCAAGCGUGGGAUGCAAAGUGUGAAAUCUGAGGUCGAGGUCGUGUGAUUUGUUUGUGUUCAAGAUUGUGCUGCAGAACGGCUCAACAUCUCUAAAGACAUCUACCCCUCAACAAUUAGAUGUCCAAGACACGACUAUGGUAGAAAAGCUGCUCGUUCCAGUAAAUGUGUUACAGUGAGGCUUAGCAUCUCCAAUGACAUGUACCCGUGUCAACAUGUAGACGUCCAAGACCAACCUAUAAUAAAGCGCACUCUCAAGUUGAACUCAGGCUUUAGCAUCUCCAAACACAUCUACCCAUCACCAACUAGAUUUCUGAGACUGGUCUAUCAUGAUAGAGGAGCUGCUCUUUCUAGUGAACCUUCUAAGGAGCAAAAUGUUUUGUGUUCACACCCUGUCCCAAGAAGCUGAAUGCACCCUCAUUAAAGAGUCAGAGGUUUAGCUAGUGGUUCCCUGAAAUCAAGUGCAGAUGGAAUGAGCACUACUGACACCUAGUAAAGGCUACAGGAAAAAGAGGGCAACGCGUAUGAAUACAAUGUUAUCAUCAAGACAUCUUAGCUGUUCAUCAAGCAAUCAUGACUGAACAACCAAGCAGUUUGUUGCCUUCAAAAAGACAGCGAUGUAAGGAAUAUUUUCCUGAAAAGAAGUGUCCAGAAUGGAAUCACCACUGCUGAUGUCAUCAAGGAUACUUGGUAUAAGGGAGAGAUGCGUAUAAAACAUCGCUAUCGUCGAGGUGUGUUAGCUGCAAGCAAUCAUGGAUGUAAAAAUCAGUUUAUUGGCUGCAACAUUAAGGUAUUAUAAAUGUGUUUUUAUGAACUGAAUAAGCUACAAUGUAUUCAGAACACUGUCGCUCGC